AUGCAGUCGAACGCUUUGUGGUUCAACUGAUUUGAAGAGCUUGCUCAGAUAUGACGAUGGACAUUGCAAAGAGUGGCGAACGGGUGAGUAACACGUGGGAAACCUACCUCUUAGCAGGGGAUAACAUUUGGAAACAGAUGCUAAUACCGUAUAACAAUAGCAACCGCAUGGUUGCUACUUAAAAGAUGGUUCUGCUAUCACUAAGAGAUGGUCCCGCGGUGCAUUAGUUAGUUGGUGAGGUAAUGGCUCACCAAGACGAUGAUGCAUAGCCGAGUUGAGAGACUGAUCGGCCACAAUGGGACUGAGACACGGCCCAUACUCCUACGGGAGGCAGCAGUAGGGAAUCUUCCACAAUGGGCGAAAGCCUGAUGGAGCAACGCCGCGUGUGUGAUGAAGGGUUUCGGCUCGUAAAACACUGUUGUAAGAGAAGAAUGACAUUGAGAGUAACUGUUCAAUGUGUGACGGUAUCUUACCAGAAAGGAACGGCUAAAUACGUGCCAGCAGCCGCGGUAAUACGUAUGUUCCAAGCGUUAUCCGGAUUUAUUGGGCGUAAAGCGAGCGCAGACGGUUAUUUAAGUCUGAAGUGAAAGCCCUCAGCUCAACUGAGGAAUUGCUUUGGAAACUGGAUGACUUGAGUGCAGUAGAGGAAAGUGGAACUCCAUGUGUAGCGGUGAAAUGCGUAGAUAUAUGGAAGAACACCAGUGGCGAAGGCGGCUUUCUGGACUGUAACUGACGUUGAGGCUCGAAAGUGUGGGUAGCAAACAGGAUUAGAUACCCUGGUAGUCCACACCGUAAACGAUGAGUGCUAG
rnacentral:rRNA from 1 species